AUGAAAAGAGGAAGUUUGGAGGUGCAGAAAGAGGAGAAAUUUGGAGGUACAAAAAGAGGAGGAAGUUUGGGGUGCAGAAAGAGGAGAAAGUUUGGAGGUGCAGAAAGAAGAGAAAGUUUGGGGGUGCAGAAAGAGGAUAAAUUUGGAGGUACAAAAAGAGGAGAAAGUUUGAGGUUACAGAAAGAGGAGAAAGUUUGGAGGUACAAAAAGAGGAGAAAGUUUGGGGUGCAGAAAGAGGAGAAAAGUUGGAGGUGCAAAAAGAGAAAAAAGGUUGGAGGUGCAAAAAGAGGAGAAAUUUGGAGGUACAAAAAGAGGAGGAAGUUUGGGGUGCAGAAAGAGGAGAAAGUUUGGAGGUGCAGAAAGAAGAGAAAGUUUGGGGGUGCAGAAAGAGGAUAAAUUUGGAGGUACAAAAAGAGGAGAAAGUUUGGAGGUGCAAAAAGAAAAACAAGGUUGGAGGUACAGAAACAGGAUAAAUUUGGAGGUACAGAAAGAGAAUAAAUUUGGAGGUACAAAAAGAGGAGAAAUUUGGGGUUACAGAAAGAGGAGAAAGUUUGGAGUUACAGAAAGAAGAGAAAGGUUGGAGGUGCAGAAAGAGGAGAAAUUUGGAGGCACAAAGCCACAUUUUGCAGAAAACAGGAGGGGUUUUGUCUUUCCUCUUGCACCUGCAGGGUUUCACCGCCGAGGUUCAGGGAAAAGGGGACGUGGGGACACUGACAGGGUCUGGCCUUGAGGGGAGCACUGAGGGCAGGGCAAAAUAUUUGCAAGAAAUGAAACUACAAAGCCCCCCUGAAAGCCCCCCGAAGGCAGUGAUAACCUCACUGUCCCCAGGGCUCAAGUCCACAGAGUGGCUGUGCCAGCAGAUAAAGGACCUGGGGCAAUGGCACAGGUUCAGAGCUCCAGAGCCCCAUCCACCUGUGUUUGCUUUCCUGCCAAAAAUCAAGAAACUGCUUCAUUUAAAUUUGUUCCUUGCCCACAGAGCCCCUCUCCAUGCCAGUUCCACUCCUCAGAGCACCUUGGGGGGAGGAUUUAAGGAAGGUUUGUCACCCACACCACUGUCCCUAAAGGUUGUAAAAAGUCUGCUUUUUAAGAAAAAAGAGCUGCUCAAGUCCAGGUUUGGGGGGGCAUAAAGGUGGAGGGAAGGGGCUGCUCUGCUUGCCUUGGCUGUCAAAUUCCAGUUUCGAAAUUUUGGAAAAGGAGAAGCGGGCUCUGCCAGCGUGGGGAUAACUGAAGCUAAAAUAAUCGAGGUGAGCCCAAGCGAAGCCAGGAAUGGUUUGCAGGGCAGAAUGGAGAGACAGCAGAGGUCCCAGCUGGGCCUGUCCCCCCGCGUUCAGAGGAUCUGACCCCGGCUCACCUUUACCCAGGUGAGGGUUGUUUGGCCACUGAGGGAUGUGAGCGCCAGCCAGGGCUCAGAUGCAGAGCAGGGAGACCCUCAGCACCAAACCAGGCUGCCCAGAGCUGAUUGCUCUCGGCACCCCUGUGCCAGGGAGAGCCUCUGCUGCCGGCAGGACAUUCCCGUGGCACCGGGGCAGCAACGCCCUUGCCCAGCUGCUGCCUCCUCUCAGCCCGGGGCUGACGGAGCUCCUGGAGCGGCAGCCCCAAAGCAUCACCACGGUGGGAGGCAGAGCCAAAACCUCCUGAAUUUGGGGGGGGUCCCCAAACCCCACAGUGCCACAGCAGACCUGCAAGAGCUCUCUGCUUGGCUGGCAAUGAGGAUGUGGCCUUCCCACAGCUCCCACAGCAGAGACAUGUCAGGAAACACCAAGCCAGGGAGGGCAGAAUUUGAUAAAUUUAAGCUCUGUGACUUUUGUAGCUUGUGUUUGCCUGGCUGCAGGACCUCAGGGCAGGGCAAGCUGCAGUGAAGCAGCUCCUGCAUUGUUUCAAAACUGGAAAGAGCUCUAAGCCAUGAAUCAUGGCACUUCCCAGGCAGCUCCCAAAGGCCUGCUACCCAUCCUCUCACAAACACAACCAUCCCUGGAGCCCUUCCAGCUCAGCUGUCCCCCUCCAUCCCUCAGGCAGAGAGAGAGGAGUUCAACCCAAUGCCUCACUCUGCAGUAGAAUGAAAAAAAAAUUAUUAAAAAAAAAAAAAAAAAAAAAAAAAAAAAGGGGGGGGGGGGGGGGGGGGGGGGGGGGGGGGGGGGGGGGGGGGGGGGGGGGGGGGGGGGGGG
rnacentral:lncRNA from 12 species